rnacentral:rRNA from 1 species
CCCUUAGAUGUCCUGGGCCGCACGCGUGCUACACUGAUGCAUACAGCGAGUACUCCCAGCUCCGCGAGGCUGCUGGUAAUCAGCAAUAUGCAUCGUGAUGGGGAUAGAUCUUUGGAAUUAUAGAUCUUGAACGAGGAAUUCCUAGUAAACGCAAGUCGUCACCUUGCGUUGACUAAGUCCCUGCCCUUUGUACACACCGCCCGUCGCUCCUACCGAUUUCGAGUGAUCCGGUGAAUCAUUCGGACCGCGUGGGCUUGACCUAACGUGGAAAGUCUAGUAAACCAUAUCACUUAGAGGAAGGAGAAGUCGUAACA